UACGUAGGGGGCAAGCGUUGUCCGGAUUUAUUGGGCGUAAAGAGCUCGUAGGCGGCUCAGUAAGUCAGGUGUGAAAACUCCAGGCUCAACCUGGAGACGCCACUUGAUACUGCUGUGGCUAGAGUCCGGUAGGGGAGCAUGGAAUUCCUGGUGUAGCGGUGAAAUGCGCAGAUAUCAGGAGGAACACCAGCGGCGAAGGCGACUACCCUGGCC
rnacentral:rRNA from 1 species